rnacentral:rRNA from 1 species
CUACGGGCGGCUCCAGUGAGGAAUAUUGCACAAUGGGGGCAACCCUGAUGCAGCAACGCCGCGUGGAGGAUGACGCAUUUCGGUGUGUAAACUCCUUUUAUCAGAGAAGAACCAUGACGGUAUCUGAUGAAUAAGCUCCGGCUAACUCCGUGCCAGCAGCCGCGGUAAUACGGAGGGAGCAAGCGUUAUUCGGAAUCACUGGGCGUAAAGGACGCGUAGGCCGGUCUGUAAGUCAGGUGUGAAAUGCAAUGGCUCAACCAUUGAACUGCACUUGAAACUGCGGACCUAGAGUAUGGAAGGGGCAGAUGGAAUUAGUGGUGUAGGGGUAAAAUCCGUAGAUAUCACUAGGAAUACCGAAAGCGAAGGCGAUCUGCUGGGACAUAACUGACGCUGAGGCGUGAAAGCGUGGGGAGCAAACAGGAUUAGAUACCCUUGUAGUC